GAUGAACGCUGACAGCAUGCUUAACACAUGCAAGUCCACUUGAACUUCGGUUUGGGUGGCGGACGGGUGAGUAACGCGUAAAGAACUUGCCUCACAGCUAGGGACAACAUUUGGAAACGAAUGCUAAUACCUGAUAUUAUGAUUAUAUGGCAUCGUAUAAUUAUGAAAGCUAUAUGCGCUGUGAGAGAGCUUUGCGUCCCAUUAGCUAGUUGGAGAGGUAACAGCUCACCAAGGCGAUGAUGGGUAGCCGGCCUGAGAGGGUGAUCGGCCACAAGGGGACUGAGACACGGCCCUUACUCCUACGGGAGGCAGCAGUGGGGAAUAUUGGACAAUGGACCGAGAGUCUGAUCCAGCAAUUCUGUGUGCACGAUGAAGUUUUUCGGAAUGUAAAGUGCUUUCAGUUGGGAAGAAAAAAAUGACGGUACCAACAGAAGAAGUGACGGCUAAAUACGUG
rnacentral:rRNA from 1 species